UGCCGGGGACUCGUAGGGGACUGCCGGAGUUAAUUCGGAGGAAGGUGGGGACGACGUCAAGUCAUCAUGCCCCUUACGUCCAGGGCUGCACGCAUGCUACAAUGGCCGGUNCAAAGGGUCGCCAACCCGCGAGGGGGAGCCAAUCCCAAAAAACCGGUCUCAGUUCGGAUCGGCAGUCUGCAACUCGACUGCUUGAAGUCGGAKUCGCUAGUAAUCCCGGAUCANCACGCCGGGGUGAAUACGUUCCCGGGCCUUGUACACACCGCCCGU
rnacentral:rRNA from 1 species